CACGUAGGAGGCAAACGUUAUCCGGAUUUACUGGGCGUAAAGCGCAUGUAGGUGGUUCUGUAAGUAGGGCGUGAAAGCUCCCGGCUCAACUGGGAGAGGCUGUUCUAAACUACAGAGCUAGAGGAUGGUAGAGGGAGGUGGAAUUCCGGGUGUAGCGGUGGAACGCGCAGAUAUCCGGAGGAACACCAGUGGCGAAAGCGGCCUCCUGGUCCAUUCCUGACACUCAGAUGCGAAAGCUAGGGUAGCAAACGGGAUUAGAUACCCGCGUAGUCCCUGA
rnacentral:rRNA from 1 species